rnacentral:rRNA from 1 species
GUACACGCUGUGACUAGCAUAUCAAUAAGCGGAGGAAAAGAAACUAACAAGGAUUCCCCUAGUAACGGCGAGUGAAGCGGGAAGAGCUCAAAUUUGAAAUCUUAAAGGGUUUCCCUUUACGAAUUGUAGUUUAAAGAAGUGUUUUCUGUUGAGGUUUUGGUAAAAGUUCUUUGGAAUAGGACAUCAUAGAGGGUGAGAAUCCCGUAUUUGACCUUUACUUUCAACUUUGUGAUACACUUUCAAAGAGUCGGAUUGUUUGGGAAUGCAGUCCAAAAUGGGUGGUAAAUUUCAUCUAAAGCUAAAUAUUGGCGAGAGACCGAUAGCGAACAAGUACCGUGAGGGAAAGAUGAAAAGAACUUUGAAAAGAGAGUUUAAACAGUACGUGAAAUUGUCAAAAGGGAAGCGUUUAACACCAGUGUUGUUUUUCUGAAAAUCAAUUAAAGAACUGUUUAUGCUAAGUUGUUUAGACUUUAUCAGCUAACUGUUUAGUUUUGAGCUUUUCUUUAAUGCACUUUUCAGUUAACAAGUCAACAUCAAUUUCUUUUGCUGUAAAAAAGCUUGAGGAAGGUGGCUUGAGAUUCGUCUUAAGUGUUUAUAGCCUCUUGCCUAUGCAGUCGGAGAGAUUGAGGUCUGCAGCGUAGAUCCUUCGGGGCUAAAUGCAUUUGUGCUAAGUUAUAGCAUUUCAUAGACAACUUGUCGACUAUGAUUUGUCUUGUAGCUUACUCGCUUAUGUUAUUUUACCUACGCUUAGGAUGUUGACAGCAGUAUAGACUGU